GAUGAACGCUGGCGGCGUGCCUAAUACAUGCAAGUCGAGCGAACAGAUAAGGAGCUUGCUCCUUUGACGUUAGCGGCGGACGGGUGAGUAACACGUGGGUAACCUACCUAUAAGACUGGGAUAACUUCGGGAAACCGGAGCUAAUACCGGAUAACAUUUGGAACCGCAUGGUUCUAAAGUGAAAGAUGGUUUUGCUAUCACUUAUAGAUGGACCCGCGCCGUAUUAGCUAGUUGGUAAGGUAACGGCUUACCAAGGCAACGAUACGUAGCCGACCUGAGAGGGUGAUCGGCCACACUGGAACUGAGACACGGUCCAGACUCCUACGGGAGGCAGCAGUAGGGAAUCUUCCGCAAUGGGCGAAAGCCUGACGGAGCAACGCCGCGUGAGUGAUGAAGGGUUUCGGCUCGUAAAACUCUGUUAUUAGGGAAGAACAAACGUGUAAGUAACUGUGCACGUCUUGACGGUACCUAAUAAGAAAGCCACGGCUAACUACGUG
rnacentral:rRNA from 1 species